rnacentral:rRNA from 1 species
GGAAUAUUGGUCAAUGGGUGAGAGCCUGAACCAGCCAUGCCGCGUGCAGGAAGACGGCCUUCUGGGUUGUAAACUGCUUUUACCAGGGGAUAAAACGACCUUGCGAGGUUAAUUGAAGGUACCUGGAGUAUAAGCACCGGCUACCUACGUGCCAGCAGCCGCGGUAAUCCGUAGGGUGCAAGCGUUGUCCGGAUUUAUUGGGUUUAAAGGGUGCGUAGGCGGGCUAUUAAGUCAGUGGUGAAAUCCAACAGCUCAACUGUUGAUGUGCCAUUGAUACUGGUAGCCUUGAGUACAGAUGCGGUAGGCGGAAUUGACAGUGUAGCGGUGAAAUGCAUAGAUAUUGUCAAGAACUCCGAUAGCGAAGGCAGCUUACAGGGCUGUAAUUGACGCUGAUGCACGAAAGUGUGGGGAUCAA